AUUUAUGUGGUACUCUUGGUUAAAAAGUUACUUUUCUUAUUAUGCAUAGCUAGCAACAGUUGAGAGAUUACAUGCUGAACAUAAGUUGCUGAUUCUACAUGUGAGCCAGCCCUUAGACAUGCAGAAAUCAAUGCAGCAACAGUCUAGUUACCAAAGAGCAAGCUGCAAAUCAGCCUGCUGUCCAAUGAUGGCCCUGCUGGUACAAUUCUGCUUUAUUUCCUAUCUUCUGCAGCUGAAAUCCAAAGAGACUAUACAAAGCUGAUUAAAUAACCUAGGUCUGGAAAGCCUGACAGAAUGUUCAAGAAACUAAAUAGCAACAAUAUAAAAUGCUUUUGUGAAUCUUUAGUUGGGCACCCACUGGAAGAAAAUGCACAAUCACUGCUGUCACUGAAAGUAACAUAAUAAUCACCCAUAAUAUAGCAGUAAAUUUUGCAAGGAUGACAAAUCACAAAAAAUGAUUAAGCUGCAAUCAAGAAAUUGUUACACUGUUCUAUAGUCUCGCGUUGAUUACAUUUUAAAUAAACCAU